GCUUCAGAAUGGGGACAAGAUUUAAAUGAAGUGAACUAUUUAGGAGGCAAUAGGGGCAUUAUUUAUGUAGCAAUACUAAACAAGACAAAGAGGUUAAAUCAGAACUCAAACUUUAGAUUAUGUUGUUUCAAGGUCAUUUUCAUUAGUCUAAAAUAUUCUGAACUUCACCAAUCACUAAGUGUUGUUACUCCUGAAGUCUUGGGAAACAAUGUGGAUCAACAAGACUUAGAAUUAAAUGGAGGAAAAUCUACUGUGGGCUUCAACAUGCCAGCCACCCACUGCUGUGGAACUGUUGAGAACACUUGAGACACAUGGUUCUUCAGAAUGAGAUAAAGAGCUGGAAAAAAUUUAUAAAUUAUUAGAUCUAAAAUGAACCCAUGGAGAUUAUACUGCUGCCAGGUUCUAGAAUCUAGCUCAAACUAUGCAUUUGACUGAUGAGUUACAUUAAUGAGGCUCUGACAGAUUACUCAAGGAUGCCCUGUGACAUCUCAAGGGUCACCCAGCUGGUUGUGGUUUAGGCAGAACUAAGAGUUACAUCUUCUUUUAACACAGUUUUUCGUAACUGUGGAGUGUUUGAGUACUUCAGUUCUCAACUUCUGUGAUGCUGUCAGCUAUUAUUCUAUUUAUCUUAAAAGUCUCAAUAUUGGCAAUAUGACUUCCUUAAAGGCCAGAAUUGCUAAAGAAUUAGGAAAAUGAUUUAAUUUGCCAUGAAAAAGAUGUGACUAUUAACACCUCUUAGGGACUUUCUUUCCUCUAUUAGGCUUUCAAAAAUGUAAAAUGUAUUCAUUAUUCAAAUGUGCUAUGUGAAGGUGCUUGGGAAUUAGUAUGCUUAAAUUCUAUGUCAUUGCCCUAGGUCUCUUUAUGCAGUGCUUGGACUCUAUGCAGUCUUUGGAGGGGAGAGAAAAGAGAUGGGAAUUAUGGAAUGGUCAAUGGAUGACGAGCUAGUUCUUUUGCAAUUAAGAUUCAUAAAAACAAGAUGGAACUGCUUCCUGUUUUAUAUUUUGCCCAGUUAAUUACGUAUGUUCCCAAUUUAUAAUCUAACAUAAUGUAUAGAAUUUUUCAGAAAGGAGGGAGCCUUAGAGACCAUUAAGUCAAAAGUUGGAAGAAAGGAGACUAACUGAAUAUCAUCCCCUGUAGGAAGAUAAGAUGCUAAUUUUUAGAGGCACUCAGCCUCUAAAAUCAAUUUUUCUUAACAUUGAGAAUUAUUGAGUGGCUGGAAAAGCAUCUUACUCUAUGAAAUAUAGUCACUGUUUAGUGCCUUUCCAUUUUAUUUACUAUUUAAAGCAUACAACAGCUAGUUAACCAA
rnacentral:lncRNA from 1 species